rnacentral:rRNA from 2 species
GCGAACGGGUGAGUAACACGUGGGCAAUCUGCCCUUCACUCUGGGACAAGCCCUGGAAACGGGGUCUAAUACCGGAUACGACUGCGGAAGGCAUCUUCUGCGGUGGAAAGCUCCGGCGGUGAAGGAUGAGCCCGCGGCCUAUCAGCUUGUUGGUGGGGUAAUGGCCUACCAAGGCGACGACGGGUAGCCGGCCUGAGAGGGCGACCGGCCACACUGGGACUGAGACACGGCCCAGACUCCUACGGGAGGCAGCAGUGGGGAAUAUUGCACAAUGGGCGAAAGCCUGAUGCAGCGACGCCGCGUGAGGGAUGACGGCCUUCGGGUUGUAAACCUCUUUCAGCAGGGAAGAAGCGAAAGUGACGGUACCUGCAGAAGAAGCGCCGGCUAACUACGUGCCAGCAGCCGCGGUAAUACGUAGGGCGCAAGCGUUGUCCGGAAUUAUUGGGCGUAAAGAGCUCGUAGGCGGCUUGUCACGUCGGAUGUGAAAGCCCGAGGCUUAACCUCGGGUCUGCAUUCGAUACGGGCUAGCUAGAGUGUGGUAGGGGAGAUCGGAAUUCCUGGUGUAGCGGUGAAAUGCGCAGAUAUCAGGAGGAACACCGGUGGCGAAGGCGGAUCUCUGGGCCAUUACUGACGCUGAGGAGCGAAAGCGUGGGGAGCGAACAGGAUUAGAUACCCUGGUAGUCCA